AAUCAAGUAUCCUAUCUGGAAGCUGGAGCUGUUCAGUAGAUGUAAUCGUAUGAAGUCUGUGUAAUCCUCUGAUUGAAAGGUGUGGUUUCUUAUUCCUGACUGGAUCCUGAUGAUUCACUAACAAAUAGUUACUGAGCUCCCAUUAUGUACCAGACACCAUGCUGGGUACCGGAAACGCAGCAGAAAAUGAGGAAGACAAGAUUCUGGUCCUUGAUGCCUCUCCAGUUUCCAUAAUGAACAAGAAUCAUACAUUUUUGAAGAGACUCAACUCUUCCUAUAAAUACUAAACAGCUUAAAAUCCUGGAAGCCUGUCAGUGACUUCAAAGCAUUUCUUUCCUCCAUCCCUGACCCCCCAAACUGCUGUCUCUUGGUUUUAAACAAGCUGAGGGUCAAAUUAUCCUAAUUCUCAUAGGACAAAUUCUAGUUCCCAAAGGAAUCAUUUUUGUGUGACCUGUAGAGUGGGAACAACAGUUUUCCCUUCCCUGAACCAGAAUUUGUUCUGUUGCCUCCACCUACGUUGGAGGAAGUCAUGUCCCUGCAGGAUGUUGCCCUCAGGCCUCCACGUAGACCCUGAGCCUCUGAUGUGGACAGCAAACCACAGACUCUGGACCAACACACCUCUCUUGAAAACAUCUUUGAUGAAGCAGCUCCCCUCCUUGCACAAACACAACAAUUAACUUAAGCAGGUAAAAUUGUGUCUUGGGAAGAUAAUGAGGUUGACUUCCCUGCCUGCCUAAUUUUGCCUGUGUGUGUCUGGUAUCUUGUCUUGGACCUCAUCCAGCUCACCCCAGGGAAAGCAUAGCUGGUAGACUCCAUGGUGCUUUAAUGAAGCGCCUGCCUGUGAAGCAACAUCAAAGUUGCUCCAGCUUCAAAACAAGUUACAUUCUGGCAGCUGCAAUUUUGGGGGCAGUAGGGGGAACUCUGUUCACCCCUCUGGUAGGUGAACUAAUGACAAGAGCACAAGAACCACUGCUUUUGGCUGUCACAUGUAUCCCCGAGCCCCGAGUCAGCCCAUCUAUUUUAUA